CGCCUCCUCCGAGACUGCAAGACCAAACGGGAAGUCCACCGCUUCCUCCGCCAUUGUGAUGAAACCAAACGCUUCUACCGCUCUGUCCAAAUCCGAAUCGGACCAUCGAUUGCAUAGAGUUUUAGAUAUGCUGGAGCGUUGCCGUGGCUGUGUAACUUAAGUUGUAGCUCUGAAUCGGCCUAAAAAAAAGAAACAGAGGAAGAGUAACAGCAACAGGGGU
rnacentral:lncRNA from 1 species